ACCAUGCAGUCAACGGGGCUUCUGCCUUCGGGUGGAGGUUCAGUGGCGAACGGGUGCGUAACACGUGAGUGACCUGCCCUUGUGCGGGGGAUAAGCCGGGGAAACCUGGUCUAAUACCGCAUGGUCUCGGUUGGCUGAUGGCUGGCCGAGGAAAGCCGCUUUACAGCAGUGCGCAGGGAGGGGCUCGCGGCGUAUCAGCUAGUUGGUGAGGUAACGGCUCACCAAGGCGAUGACGCGUAGGGGGUCUGAGAGGAUGGCCCCCCACAUUGGGACUGAGAUACGGCCCAGACUCCUACGGAAGGCAGCAGUGGGGAAUCUUGCGCAAUGGCCGAAAGGCUGACGCAGCGACGCCGCGUGUGGGAGGACGCUUUUCGGAGUGUAAACCACUGUCAGGGGGGAAGAAGGUCUUUGGGAGGAAAUGCCCAGGGGAUGACGGUACCCCCAGAGGAAGCACCGGCUAACUUCGUGCCAGCAGCCGCGGUAAUACGAAGGGUGCGAGCGUUGUUCGGAAUUAUUGGGCGUAAAGCGCACGUGGGCGGCUUUGUAAGUCUCACUGUGAAAGCCCGGGGCUCAACCCCGGGAGGCCAGGGGAUACUGCGAGGCUGGAGACAGGUAGAGGCUGGUGGAAUCCCGGGUGUAGCGGUGGAAUGCGUAGAGAUCCGGAGGAACAUCGGACGCGACGCGGCCAGCUGGACCUGAUCUGACGCUGAGUGCGAAAGCGUGGGGAGCGACAGAUUAGAUACCUGGUAGUCCACGCCGUAACGAUGGCACUAGAUGCCGGUGGGAUCGACCCCUACGUGUCGUAGCUACGC
rnacentral:rRNA from 1 species